ACUCAAAUGAAUUGACGGGGGCCCGCACAAGCAGUGGAGUAUGUGGUUUAAUUCGAAGCAACGCGAAGAACCUUACCAGGGCUUGACAUCCUACUAACGAAGCAGAGAUGCAUUAGGUGCCCUUCGGGGAAAGUAGAGACAGGUGGUGCAUGGUUGUCGUCAGCUCGUGUCGUGAGAUGUUGGGUUAAGUCCCGCAACGAGCGCAACCCUUACGGUUAGUUGCUACGCAAGAGCACUCUAGCCGGACUGCCGUUGACAAAACGGAGGAAGGUGGGGACGACGUCAAAUCAUCAUGCCCCUUACGUCCUGGGCUACACACGUACUACAAUGGCAGCGUUACAACGGGUCGCGACCCAGCGAUGGGAAGCUAAUCUCUUAAAAGCUGCCUCAGUUCGGAUCGCAGGCUGAAACCCGCCUGCGUGAAGUCGGAAUUGCUAGUAAUCGCGGAUCAGCAUGCCGCGGUGAAUACGUUCCCGGGCCUUGUACACACCGCCCGU
rnacentral:rRNA from 1 species